rnacentral:rRNA from 1 species
UACGUAGGGAGCAAGCGUUGUCCGGAAUCAUUGGGCGUAACGCGCGUGUAGGCGGUUACAUACGUCUGUUGUGCAAGUCGGAGGCUCCACCUUCGACAGCCGAUGGAUACUGUGUGACUUGAGUACGGAAGAGGAGAGUGGAAUUCCUGGUGUAGCGGUGAAAUGCGCAGAUAGCAGGAGGAACACCAACGGCGAAGGCAGCUCUCUGGGACGUUACUGACGCUGAGACGCGAAAGCGUGGGGAGCAAACAGG